GAAAUGCGAUAAGUAGUGUGAAUUGCAGAAUUCAGUGAAUCAUCGAAUCUUUGAACGCACAUUGCGCCCCUUGGUAUUCCAUGGGGCAUGCCUGUUCGAGCGUCAUUUGUACCCUCAAGCUCUGCUUGGUGUUGGGUGUUUGUCCCGUCUCCGCGCGUGGGCUCGCCCCAAAGUGAUUGGCAGCCGGCGUACUGGUCCCGGAGCGCAGCACAUGUCGCGCAAACGAGUGCCUUGGUACGGCGGCGUCCAUAAGCCCCUCUCUCACGCUCUUGACCUCGGAUCAGGUAGGGAUACCCGCUGAACUUAAGC
rnacentral:misc_RNA from 1 species